rnacentral:rRNA from 1 species
ACACGAACUGCGCGAACGUUAUUGGGAAUCACUGGGCUUAAAGAGUCCGUAGGCGGCUCGGUAGGUGGGGUGAGAAAGCCCACGGCUCAACCGUGGAAUUGCGCUCCAAACCACCGGGCUUGAGGGAGAUAGAGGAGAGCGGAACUGAUGGUGGAGCGGUGAAAUGCGUUGAUAUCAUCAGGAACACCAGUGGCGAAAGCGGCUCUCUGGGACUCUUCUGACGCUGAGGCACGAAAGCUAGGGUAGCGAACGGGAUUAGAAACCCGAGUAGUCC